rnacentral:rRNA from 1 species
AUUGAACGCUGGCGGCAGGCCUAACACAUGCAAGUCGAACGAGUGGCGGACGGGUGAGUAAUGUCUGGGAAACUGCCUGAUGGAGGGGGCUAACUACUGGAAACUGUAGCUAAUACCGCAUACCAUCAGAUGUGCCCAGAUGGGAUUAGCUUGUUGGUGGGGUAACGGCUAACCAAGUCGACGAUCCCUAGCUGGUCUGAGAGGAUGACCAGCCACACUGGAAAUGAGACACGGGCCAGACUCCUACGGGAGGCAGUAGUGGGGAAUAUUGCACAAUGGGCGCAAGCCUGGUGCAGCCAUGCCGCGUGUAUGAAGAAGGCCUUCGGGUUGUAAAGUACUUUCAGCGUGGAGGCGUUACCCGCAGAAGAAGCACCGGAUAACUCCGUGCCAGCCGCAGCGGUAAUAC